rnacentral:lncRNA from 1 species
CAGAGGACACCUUAGAGUUAGGUGAAAAGUUCAAGUUGACAUGUGAUUAUUUUACCCAUUUGCGGAUUACUGCGUUCUUGAAUGUCAUCUGACGCGAUGCAACAUGGCGAGCUCGAGUAGUGAAGCGUUCUACAAUCUUAGCAAUAAUGUUGUUAAGUGAUACAGUGUAGUAUAAGUAUAGAUACCUGGAUAGGUGGUGGAACCACAUGCUGAAAAGAAAAGAAACAAAGUGACGUAGUUAUCAUGGGAGACGUGACGACAAAUCAGCUAAGGGUUCCAAAUCACCACAAAUAUUGAGCCGAAGCGCAAAAUAGGAGUAAUCUACGUCACACUCGGCGCAUGUAACCUUUUAGGAGUGCAAACCUUGUCCUGCAUAUAUGGAUAUGGAAAGAAAAGCUGCCUGUUUUGAACUUAAGUUCAUUUGCUGUUGUUGUUUUUAGCAAAAAUCGUGAGAGUGAAAUCAUUUAAAGUACCUGCAUAGCGAGAUCAAAAACAUGUUACGACCAAGAGCAACUUCAAGAAACCUACUUAAAAAGGUCUGCAGCGAAGCAAGGGCGGAUACAGCUUAAAUUUUGUGGGGGUGUGGUUAAAUGGGCUUUAUUUGUUAUAAGCAAUGAUCAUGUUUGUCAAUGAUUGGAAAUAAUAAAAACAAAACUGUUAACGUUUUCUGCUCAAAGAGACAGCUACAGCACCGCUUUGCCCCUCCUUCCAUUCGCCAUUUGCAUAAAGAAAAACCUCAUCUUGUAAAAUUUGUUUUAAUAAAGGAAACAGAAAACUGG